rnacentral:rRNA from 1 species
UACAGAGGGGGCAAGCGUUAUUCGGAAUUAUUGGGCGUAAAGGGCGCGUAGGCGGCCUGACAAGUGGAAGGUGAAAUCCCUCGGCUUAACCGAGGAACUGCCCUCCAAACUGUCUGGCUUGAGUCCGGGAGAGGUGAGUGGAAUUCCCAGUGUAGCGGUGAAAUGCGUAGAUAUUGGGAGGAACACCAGUGGCGAAGGCGGCUCACUGGACCGGUACUGACGCUGAGGCGCGAAAGCGUGGGGAGCAAACAGG